UGGGGUUUUCGUCGCUCUCCAGUCUCCACCCAAUCCCCACCCCAUCGGUCUCCCCAAUCGCUGCGUCUCCCAGCUUCCUCAACUCUUCAUUGUGCAAAAGCCUUCCGGCGCUUAGGGUUCGUCCAUGGCCGCUUGCUUGGAGGCGUGGGGCUGGUCCGCGAGGGAGAUGGACCAGUGAAGAAGGCGUUGGGGCUAUGGUGGGUGGCUAGCAGCGAGGGCGGGGGUGGCCGGCGAGCUGCGAGGCGGCGAGGGCGGGGGUGGCCGGGGAGCUGCGAGGCGGCGAGGGCGGGGUGGCCGGCGAGCUGCGAGGCGGCGAGGGCGGGGUGGCGCUCCUUUGCUCCUCACAUUUUCACCGGCAGCAACGAGCGCCCGACCUCUUUGUUCGUGGACUUCUUUCCGGUCGUCGCCUGGGAUUGUCGCAUCGGGUGGCCGGCUUCCUCUUGCAUUCACGGAGCGAGCAAAAGCAGCGGCCAUGGGCGGGCGGUUGAGCAGGCGUGCGAGCAGCUGCAGGGCGCCAUGUGUGUGGCGGCUGAUGCGGGAAAUGGAGCAGGCGGAGGGAGGAUGAGGAUUUGACGGCCGGCUGGAGGCCACGGUGGACCUGUACAGUGACGGAAGGGCGGCCAUGGGCGAGCAGUUGAGAGGGGGCGCCAGAAACUGCAGGGCUACGGAAGGGAAGCUGCAAAGGAUGCAAGCACCAUUUUAUUCCACAGCUUUAUUUAGUACGCAUCAAGCUUACCUGCAAAGGUCUGAAUCCACUGGGCAUGGGUAUCGCCGUCGUCAGUUCUCCUUGUCUUUAGGUCAAAAGUUCGGCUCUGAAGAUUGAUUACAAUUUGAUUAUUUCCCUAUUUUUCGUAUUUGAUUGCAUGAUAUAUAUAUGUGCGAUGACAUGAAGAUUAAAUCCUUUAGUGGCAUAUGAGUGUAUUAAAAGUAUCGAGAAUUGGAUCAUCCUAACUGAUACUGAGAGUGACACCAUUGUGGAAGAUGACCCGAUGUGGUUGUUAUUUUUUUUUUCCUUGAAUGACUCAUAUAGGCUGCCAUGUGAGAGCUGAUUCAUGUGGUGUGUAGCUAGCCAGCAUAGAAUAAUUCUAUUAGAAUGUUGUAAAAAUAGAUCAGGUGGUAAUUAAAUUUUCGACCUAAUGAUAUUUUCUUAUUUCAUUUUGAAUAUCCAAACAAGUUGUUUUCAUAUGAAACCCAUUGACAUGCUAGCCCAGUGCAGGAGCAAUACCACACACUAAUUUAUUUUUUUCUGAUUUAUGAUUUACUAUAUAUUGCAUUCUCUAGACACUCCAUGUAGGCAUCUUGUUUGCUUAUUCUUUUGUUUUAUGAUAAGCUGAUGGAUUGUAUACGCCGAACCAUUUGUGUUCUCUUCAUAAAUAAUGGAGGGAGUAUUUCUAAAGGACUCUCAUUUUCUAAUGUAUGAAAAUGCAGAGUUGCUUUCAAGAUACUCGACUAGGAUCUCUAAUGAGGUGGAGCCUUUCCUCUCUGCCUGAUCAUGUAUUUUGCAUUUAUGUUUUUUGCCAGUUUGUCCCUUGCUUGAGGCUUUUACUACUGCAAUGUUUCUUUUAUUUAUCUACAGUUCCGUGUCUGCCCGCUGCUCCCUCUCCGAAAUCUCGCUCCACUGCACCGUGGUACAACGGGAGACCGGCGGCGGGGAUGACCACCCAGGGAAGCGAGAGACUGAUGCAAGAUGCAUGAUAGGUUGUGUUCUUUUAUUCUUUGUCAACUGAUAAUUCCUCCGGAUAAUUAUGCACUCUUCAUUUAAUGUUUGCUUAUCAUCGAUGUUUACAAAUGUGUACAAAAUAAAUUUUUGCAUGAACUCCACGGGAUCGUGCGCCAAGGGACCGUGUGGCAGCUGUGCCGGUGGCAAGCGCCCGAGUGAUGUCGGCGGCUGGACGCAGCAGCGGUGGCCGCCGCAAGUGCCGGGAGAUGGCUUGACAAGGUGAUGUGCUUCACUGGACGCUGGCUUGUUGCUCUUCCUAGCCAUAAGUUAAUCCCAUGAUCAUGUAUGAAAAUUCAGAAGUUGAUGCAGAUAAUUUUCUUGCUGAAAAAUGCUCAGUCUAUUAUAUCUUGAGAAGCAACAUUAUUCAUGGCCUCCCUGUAGCGUCUCUAUUCCCUUACUCAGUUAUGUGACUAGAGUUUACAAUAUAGUCUGUUAGGGAGGUACAUGGGAAACACUCACUUCGCUGCUGCUCUGCCUCUGCAUCCUCUUCGACGUUCAAUAGGAGGAUCAUGUGAUGUCUGCUUCCACAUUGAGCCAGGUUAUGAUUGCAGUUAAAGGAAGCCCACUCAGGUUAUUGAUAGGAGAGAAAAAAAUACGCAAACAUCUAUCUUUUCAUUUCAAAUAGAACAUCAGAAACACUAUACAUCAGAUGAUUGUCCAGUUACGACUCCAGAUGGUCUGGAUUUCUUUAAAUCAAGGAAGCUCUAGAUGGCUUCUAAAAUUUAAGAUGCAGAUGUUGGAUUUCUGUAAACCAAGGUUAGUGAUGUCAUGGCUUUAGUUUCAGCUCUGGUAUAUGUUUCAUUGUCAUGACAGCUAAGCGGUUCUAGCAUUUUUUUUAGAGAAAGAACAUGCAGAAAACAUUUUCUCACAUUUUCGUUGAGGUAAAUCACAAAUGGAUACAUGAGUACGUGCCAAAGCACCCACAGUUCACUCAUCUGAGGAAGCUUGAUGGCCUUCCCUUGUUCUGUUCUAAUGAGCUGCUUUAUGGUUUCUCAGUUUUGAACACAAUACUUUGUUAGAAGAGGUAAUGGAUGGUUUUCACUAAACCAGUUGCAUUAUAGCUCUCACAUUAGGACUAAAAUAUUUCAUGAAUUUUUUAUUAACUGUUCAGUGGCUAACCCUGUGUUUCUAAGUUUGAAAUUGAGUUAUAACAUACUCUUGUUUUUGUGACUAUUAAAGUGAAAUAGUAGAGGCACUAGAUCAUUUGCUUUGAGCCUGUGAUGGUUUGUUGAAGAACAGUUUCUUUGUACUCUUUGUUUUCUCAAAAAAAUUUAAGCCAUAUAAGUACUGAGGUGAAAUUUGUUGCUUGCAGAGCUUAUAUAGUGGUAGACCCAUGUCACUUGAAUUGAUAUUGGUGCAUACAGAUAUAGCUGGCCCAGUUCACCAUUCCUUUUGUCGUACUUCAGGAUGUAACCGUAUUUUGACUUAUAUAGAAUCGUUAGUUUCAAACGAGAGCAAGGUACAUAAAGCCAUAAAGGAGCUCAAGAUGUUCUUAUUCACAUGAAGGUAAUAUUUAUUCCAUUCAGAUUCUUCCUUUUACCUGUUUUUGAUCAUGGACUAGGUCCUCUUUGACAAUGAGUUAAUCUUGAAAUCCAUGUUUACAUAUUGGAUAGUCUAUUGCCAUUUUUGUCAUUCCUUUAAUUAGGUUUCAUGAAUGCGAGGCAUAGACAACAAAUAGUUGAUUCGCAUAACACAGUAAAACUAAGAACUCUGUCAUGUUUGGAGGAAAGGCUACUUGUCUUUUUUUUUAUCAUCUACAUGUUUUAUUCAUUUUUCUUCGUCACAUUUCUUUUGGUACUAUGCAGUACAGUGAUUAUUAAAUAGACAUGGAUGUGGGUGAUAGUUUCAGCGAUGUAGGAGCAGGGCCGGUCACCGUCGUCUCCCAAGACACCACUCGCACCUUGCCACCGCAAUCUCCUGCUUGACCACGAGGAGGUCAUGCCGGAAGAUUUUCGCUAAGGCCCUACCUUGCUGAACUAUGCGGAUGUCGCGCGGCCACUUAUUUUUGGGUAUGCCCUUGCCCUGCUCUGUCUGAUGUAGUGAUGGUUUAAGCCAUGGCUGCAUGCUUCUCUACAAGGGAUAUAUACGGUGAACAUGUCCAGAGUGUUCUUACACUUUUCAUAGUUAACUUCUUUAGCAACAACUUUUUUAUGUACCUCUGUAAAUGGUGAUUUGGAGCUUAUUUCAAAUAAUGAAUAUUGAAAACUUUGUUCAGGACAUGAAAUAUUUGGAAAAAUCUAUACCAUAGUUCUAAGAGUUUACUCUACAGGCCUGUUUUUCCCAUCUAUAUUUGGCAAAAUCUAUAUUUGUGAAGUAUCGGGCUUAAGCCGGUUUCUUUAUCACUACUAUAUUUGGGAACAAUCACAAGGUACAGUUGGCUGAUGAUUAUAUUUUUCCUCUCUGAUUUGGAUACAUCUAGAUAGGUUUACUACCUUUAGGCUGACCAUGCUUUCUAUCAAUGAAAUUUUCAGAGAUUGCUUCCUUUCAUGGAUGAUGUCCUCGAGAAAAUUUACUAUUGCAGUAUGUUCCCUGAUUCUUAGUAUGUACACAAAUAAGAUUAGUCUAUGAGUUUGUCAUACACAAAUUUAUCUAUUUGUAGCAGGGUCAAACAAUUAAACCACCCUAUGCAUCUUGCAUGUCUAGAAAUGAAUUAUUUGAAGGUGCUUUUUAAAAUGAUAUAUUGUUGUUAAUGCAUUUUUUACAGGAAUAUUAUUCUAAUUUAGUAUUCGUAUUGUCAAAUACAUGAUAAUAAAGCCCUUCUUGCGCCCAGUAAAGCACCAUUUAUGGAGGGUGCCGGAAAAAAGAGUAGGACGGGAAGGAAUCUCCUCAAGUCAAAUGAAUUACCAUUUUGUUAAUAAAGCACCCCAUGCGCCCAUUGUUCUCGAAUCUCAUACCUGAUUGUUUGAACUGCAAUUGAAAAUUUGAUGUAUUGUAAUGUCAGAUCAAAUUGCCGCCAUCAACACCUAUGUUCCAAUGCAUUUGGUGGUUCAGGUUUUUAGUCUUCCACUACAGUACUCUUUUUAAUAUUGGUGUGUUAGAUUUGAAUUUGUUUGUGAUUUUCAGCCGCACACGUUGAAGAGUUACCUGUCCAGGUCCCGCUUGCUGGCAUGUCCGGCUACCGCCGGAGCUAUGGCGGUCUCAUCACCACAUGUUUUACUCGCUAGAGUUUGUGCUAGCUUUUCUCAUUUUUAUUUAUGUGUAUACCUAUUAAUAUUUGCUUAAGAGGAACUUGUAGAACUCCGCUCUCUCUUGUCAGUAGCUUGCAACAUCAAUAAUCUGAAAUUUCAGCCAUACUAUUUUAUCUCAUGAUGAUGCAUGUUUUAGAUUCAGGAAAACAGGUUGACUGUGUUUUAGUUUUUUGAGAGGUCGAUCAAAACGUUAGUGUGUAUAUCAGGUGAGCUUUUGAGAGAGAUCAAAACGUUAGCGCGUAUACCAGGUGAAGUUUAUUACACUAUAAGUGCAUUGCACAUAGCGCAACUGUCCUCUUCCUUCACAGAUUGGGUAUGUAUUCCAAUUUAUUGAGCAGGUAUUAGGUGGAUUCUAUCUGUACAUAUGUAAAAGAAACCAUCAGUUGUACUUAUUGUGUGUUAAGUUUUUCUUCA